rnacentral:rRNA from 1 species
CCUGUUUUUAAUAAAAUUCUUGUUUUCUAAAACAAUUUCUAAAAAAUACAGAAAAACCAUUUUCAUGAAAUGUAUGGUUGAAAGAAAUUCUUGUAAAAACUAAAGAGAAAAAGUACCGUGAGGGAAUGAAAGAAAUUUUUUAAAAGUAAGGAUAGGCCCCUGUACCUUUUGUAUGAUGGUUUAUCUAGAAAAAACAUGGAUAUGUUUCCCCGAAAUAAGUUGAGCUAUCAAGUCUCUAUGUCAAUGUAGAAAGAUUGUAUAAAGAGGGCUUGAUAGGGAUUAAACGUCUGCCGCAACUUAUGAUAGCUGGUUUGCCAAUAAAGACAUCAAAGUGUCUGCUUUUGGUAAUGUUUUAGUUUCUAAAACUAAAAAUAGGACAAAUAGCACAGAAAUAAAAGGAUAAGCUUUUAUUUUUAGUAAAAAUAUUAAAGAAAAAUAAAUUAAAUGUGGGCUUAAGAUUGGCCAUCAAUUAAAAAAAUUGUUAUAAAUUAUACUUAUAUAGAUUGGAAAUUGAUUUAUAAAUUUUACUCUCGUUUAUUGGCAAAUUUUAAAUAAACCAAUAAUUAAAAGUAAUUCUGGUAAAAUGAGUAUUUAAAAAAUUAGCUCCUAAAAAUUUUAAAAAUAUAGGAACAAAAAUUUUCUACACUUGAAACAAAUAAAAGGAACUCGGCAAAAAUUUGUUUCGCCAGUUUAUCAAAAACAUGGCUCUCUGUGCUUAACAAAAUAGAGAGUCGGACCUGCCCGGUGAAAAAUUUUUAACGGCCGCGGUACCCUGACCGUGCAAAGGUAGCAUAAUCAUUUGCCUUUUAAUUGAAGGCUGGUAUGAACGGUUUGACGAAAACAAAACUGUCUCUUAUUUGCUAUUUAAAAAUUAAUUUUGAUGUGAAGAAGCAUUAAUAAUUCUAAAAGACAAGAAGACCCUGUUGAGCUUUAAUACACAUAAAAAAUAAAAGUAUGAAUCAAAGAAUUAUUUUUUUAUAGAUAUUUUAGUUGGGGCGACUGAGGAACAAAAAAGCUUCCUUUUUUAAAAAAAAUAAACCUGUAAUGAUCCAACACAUGUUGAUUAAAGAAAUUAGUUACCACAGGGAUAACAGCGUAAUCUUUUUUGAGAGUUCUUAUUAAAAAAAAGGCUUGCGACCUCGAUGUUGGAUUAAGAUUUCCGGUUGGUGUAGAAGCUUUCUUGGUUGGUCUGUUCGACCAUUAAAAUCUUACAUGAUCUGAGUUCAGACCGGCGUAAGCCAGGUCGGCUUCUAUCUUUAGAAAAAACAAAUUUUAAACUAGUACGAAAGGACCGUUUUAAAAUAAAAUUUUUAUAGGAAAGAAAAUAUUUAAUUUUUUAUUAAAAAGUUAAGUUGGCAGAAAAUAUGUGAU